rnacentral:sRNA from 1 species
CAACCGCGUUAUAUCUGCAUUAUCUGUGGGGUGGAAACCCACCAGGAUAGGGAGUCAUGGCUUACUGAAUACCGUGUCAUCCAUAUGACAGAUGAUGAAUCGUUGCAGCUGCUUCCUUUUUCAGCAGCAUCUCCAGCGCAUGGAAUCCUAUUAAUGUACUGUACCGGGAGCCUUUUUGAGGCUGGAGAGAGACACUUGAAUCGCGGAUAUCAGAUUGGCACUCACCGAUAAAAUCUUCGGCAGGGAAGAACUAUUCAAUCGGGGACCAAAAUUCUCUUUUAUUCUAUUCUAUCCUACUGUAUUCGCGGUG